rnacentral:misc_RNA from 1 species
AAUACAGCCACAUCCGUCUUGGCAUCUGGCGGCUGCUUUUCGGCGUACAUAUUAACGACGCGCUGGGCCGAGAUCGGAAGCGACGGGCUUUUGUAUGAGUUCNNNUCUUCAUUUAGCGGCCAGUGUCCGGCACGAGUUCAAAGCUGGUUAACUCGCGCUCCCACCAGUUGGCCUCCUGCAAGUAUUGCGCGGCGCGGCGCUCUAUGCGCGUUCGCUUUGGCUCCGGCACGUCGUACUCGUCGGCCAGUUCAUCGGCCAAUCCCCAUUCGAUGGCCCUAAUCCAUUCCUGAGGCAGAUCGGCGGAGUCACCGGCUGCGGUGAAAUCCUCAA